GACGAACGCUGGCGGCGUGCUUAACACAUGCAAGUCGAACGAUGAAGCCGGAGCUUGCUCUGGUGAAUUAGUGGCGAACGGGUGAGUAACACGUGAGUAACCUGCCCUUGACUCUGGGAUAACUGCGGGAAACUGUAGCUAAUACCGGAUACGACCCUCGGAGGCAUCUCCUGGGGGUGGAAAGAAUUUCGGUCAAGGAUGGACUCGCGGCCUAUCAGCUAGUUGGGGAGGUAAGGGCUCACCAAGGCGACGACGGGUAGCCGGCCUGAGAGGGUGGCCGGCCACACUGGGACUGAGACACGGCCCAGACUCCUACGGGAGGCAGCAGUGGGGAAUAGUGCACAAUGGGCGCAAGCCUGAUGCAGCAACGCCGCGUGAGGGAUGAUGGCCUUCGGGUUGUAAACCUCUUUUAGCAGGGAAGAAGCGAAAGUGACGGUACCUGCAGAAAAAGCACCGGCUAACUACGUGCCAGCAGCCGCCGUAA
rnacentral:rRNA from 1 species